rnacentral:lncRNA from 1 species
UUGCUCAGCAUAUUUGUCUUGCUGCAGCAGUGUUACCCCUUAGUGGAUAUGGUUUUCACUGGACGUGUGCAUAUCGGGCUGUAAAUAUACAACAUACACACAUGUGAGUUAGCAUUGUAAUCUUUUUCCAAUAGAGGUGCCUGAAGCACUUCAUUGACAUAUUUCUACACUUUUGUUUCGAAGGCCAUUUCUAUGGUUUUUCCUACUUUCCUGAAGAAGCAUUUUCUUGAUACAUAACCAAUACAGUAGUACAAAAGCAAGUAACGAUGCACAUACUGCUCUUCCGCCUUGUUGCUUGCACAUUGUCACUGCUGUUACAGAAAAUUUUGUUUUUGCAGCUCAAUAUGUGCCUAACUUGUCAUGCAGGUCUUCACCCAUUUUUGCCUGCUAGCACAGAGGAGCAGCCAUUAGAAGGUGAUUCUUCAUCAAGCCACUUUGUCGAGACCCACAAAAAAAGGAUCUUCAACUACCGUCUCAGCAGAGCCCGUUGGGUCAUAGAGAAUGCCUUUGGCAUAAUGGCACAGAGGUGGCGCAUCCUGCGCCGCCCGUUCAAAGCUUAGGACGAGAAUGUGAGAAGGAUUAUCUCUGCUUGUGUAGUCCUGUACAACUUCCUGCUCAAGGAGUCCCCCACUUCCCGAUCUGCAUACUGCCCUCCUGGAACAGCUGACUAUGUAGACUGGCAGGGAAACAUCAGUGAAGGGAGCUGGAGGGCCGAGGACAGCAGCAACAAUGCACUGCCACCUCUGCGUAGCACAGGCUGUCACUCAACCAGAGCUGCCUACAAAAUGCGGGACGACCUUGCCAAGUACUUCGUCACUGAUGGCCAGAUCCCUUGGCAAGAGUCCAUGAUCAUGGACAGAACACUGUACAGUGGUGUCACGCAACGUGGCGACGAUCCUGCUCCGGAAAGCUCGUCCAGGGAACUUGCAUCGUAAAUGGGAUC